UGACUUUCUGUAGAUUGGGUGGUCUGUGCUGGGGCUGAGGAACAAAGAUCCUAACUCUAGUGAUAGUCUGUUUAUGGAAAAAAAUGCUAAUCUCUGCACAAUUAGCAUUGAAUUUGACUUCAAUUUUCCUAUUUCUGAAGAGAACUCCCUACAAUUAUCUCCCUCCAAUAGCAUGUUUUAAAAAGUUAAAUAUUUUUAAGUGCCUAAUAUAGAAUGCCCCAAAACUUUGCAACUUGACAAGAUUUCAAAAGUGAGCAUAUGCAAAAAGCAUCAUUUUAAGGUCAAUGGCAUCAAGCAAUUGCCAUUGUUUAAGGUCAGAUCAAAGGCUUUCUUAGUCAGAGCUAACAGAUUAGCGGUGAUGGAGGUGUUUCUAUUUUGACAUGAAGAAUGCUUGGUCUGUAUUUUAGAAGAGAAGGUUGAGCGUGGUAUCUGGUGAAAUAAAAAAAAUUCUCGAUUAGAAAACGGAGUUAACAAUAAUCUGAAGAAAAUGUUCUACAGAAAGAUUGUCACCUGCUUACUUAGCAUUGGACUGAUUUACCAUCAAUACAGAAACAUUUGUAGGCGAACAAAAGUAUGGGACUAAGCAACCUUCUCUCUCUCUCUCUCUCUCUCUCUCUCUCUCUCUCAAAUUUAUAACUCUGAAUUAAAGGUGCCAGAGGUAGAUUUAGUGCCAGACUCUGUAAGUCAGCACUGAAGUUGCUGACUUUCUGAUCUGCUAAGGUUACAGAGAAACCACAAGUAAUGACUAGUCAUACCUUGUACCUUCAAUAAAGUCAUUUAAGUCAUUAUCUAAAGCUAUUUAUUUUAAGCAAUUAAAAGUUUAAACAUAUCUGACAUUUCUCAAGCAAUUUUCAGUAUAUUUAAAAGAAUCCAUAGCUUGUGAGGUUCAGCUUUCUUGGUUAUUCCUACAUUUCUAAUUCCUUCAGGGAGGGAAUUUCUGCACUUAGCUGUUGGAAACAGUAUUUCUACUGCAGAAUGGGGACUGUGUAAAGCAUGUGGGAAGGAAUCUAAAGGUCUCUGCUGCGUGGUUACAAGCAGAGAGAAAACAGAACCCUUAGAGAGCAAAGGGGCGUACAAACAAGGCAAGGGAAAGAUUCAUUCUGCAUGUUAAUGAAAACCUAGAACAUAGCUGCAGAUGUGUGUUUCAUCCAAAGAUAAUGCUGAAAGACUGGGAUAAAAUUUAGUAAUACCCAUGUGAAGUCAGACACUUAAAGAAAUGCAAUUUCUGCAGUUACCUGUUGGAGAUAUUAAAGUGAGGGAAAAGCAAAGCAUGUUUAUUAGUUGUGGAAUGUCUCUGAGCUGUAGAUGUAAUACAGCUGAGUAAAAGAUAAAUGCUAUCUUAGGGCAUAACAUGUAAGGUGUUUUCAGCAGACAUAGUGAAAUUAUCUGUGCCUUUAUAGAAGGUAUUUGUAGGCUAUAUACAGUACAGAGGUUUCAUCACCCAUGUUGAUGAAGAAUCGAAUCAAACUGGAAUGGAUAUAGAGGCAAGCUAUUGGGAAAGAAUAGAAAAGCCCAACAAGCAAAAGUACCUGAAUAGGUGUUGUCUUAUUUAUAUGUAUCUAUAAAUAUAAGCAAUGAAUUUCUGAAAGAGUCAGGGAAAAAAAAUGGGAUACAACUUGGUCAGUUAAUGGAAAGGAACCCAAGUCUUGUGUUCCCAUGUGUGGUACCCAUCCUGCUCCAAAUAGCAAAGGUCUGCAAUUUUGCAUUCUCUUGAGAUUGCCCUGGGGAAUGAGGAGUUCUCAGUGAGAUGGAGCCUCUUCUCGUAUCCUUUAUCCUUAUCCUCAUCCCCUCAUACAGGCUGAGAACCAACUCAAUCAGCCUUUCCCUUCAGCAUUUCAGGUCAACCCAAAGGAUUUGUACAAACUGCCAACGCCCUGCUUGUGAAUAUGUCCCUGCCUUGAGGCAAAGCAAGAGCAACUCUGUAGCCAGGCCCAAAAGCAGGAAUUAAGGCUCUUCCUUUGUACGUCAGUGUGUUGUUCAGCAGUUUCCAGCUCUCACACCCUGCUGCACCAUAUCUGUGCCCAUGAGCACUGCUGAGUGCAGAAACAGCGUACUGCCUGCUGUGUCAGGAGCUGUCUCCCUGUCACAGUUCAGUCCUGUAGCAACGUGGCUGUACUCCAGCAGUAAUGUAAAUCCUUGUCUCCCUCAUAGUACUGCCAAGCAAGGUAACUGCUUCAGCCUGCUGAUCUGGCAGGCAGCAGAUCCAGAUGUUUCUCAUCCCGCACAUGUCAAACAAGCAAAAAGUCAUGGCUUCAAAAUUUACAAGACUGGCUUUAAAAUCCCGAGAAAUCUUAAGAUUAAUUCUCUGCAAAUCCCUUUUGUUUUGGUUUCUGUUUUUCUCAGCCUCUUCUGAGCCUGUCACGAGGAAAAAAGUCACAUCUUGCACCUUUUCCUUUUAGUCUAUAAGCAAAAGUAAACUAAUAGAUGAAAACUGAGAAUGUCACGUGAGCAUCUCUCUUCAGCAGGUGACGCUUUACAGAAAUAAUCACACCACAGGGCACAGGAGAAAACCUCUAGAGUUGGCAAAGCCGUAUUUGAUAAAGUCAAGAUCUGUGUUUGUCCAGAGAUGGUGAAAUUCCUCUCUGGUGCAGCAUUCACCCAAGCCCAGAGGAAGAUGCAGGGUGCCCAGCUGCAUUUUGGAGAGCUGGCGCUUUGGGACCCUGUCACAUCUGAGCUAUGAAUGUGGCAAGAUGAAGGAAGUUCUGGCAGCUUACCAUGCCCCUGGCUCUGCAGAGUUAAGCGAGACGUGCGCCCAUGUUCUAGCAUGCAUCACAUCGCCUCUCGGGUCUGAAGUGCCAGAAGGAUCCCAGCGCUGCAGACUGAGACGGCUCUGAGCACCUCAGUACCCCGUUUCUGACAGAACCCAGGGAUGGCAAACUUACAUACCAGUAUUACCUGUCUGGCGCAGGUUUAAUUUUAUAAAUUAAAACCAUAAACUCUAUGAGUUUCUAGACCAUAUUUGUGCUGUUGAGGAUGAUCUACUCAGAUGAACAGUUUUGCAUCCAUCGGAGAGAAAGGUUCUUCUGCUGGACCAGAAGGCAACAUUAUUGUAACUAAUACCAUUUGUAGCAUCUCCUAGUGCAAAUAAUUGAAGAACAGGUUGCAAGAAAAUCCUCUAGGGAAUAAGACAUGCUUUGUUUUGGUCUUCAGAUUUUAAAAAAAUGUUGUUUUUUUAAAGGUAACCACUUUUACAUAACACUAUGUGUGCAGUCUAUGUGCAGCUCUUCACUGUGACUAUCUAUAUUCCAGAGAUUUUUAAUUACUUGUCAGGCACCUGAACCUUUUUUAGAUUUGUGAUGGAUCCUUAAAUUAUGUAUCCUUAAGUAUCAUGGAAAACUAGAAAGGAAAAGUUUCAGGGCUUUUAUUUGACUAAAUGUCUCCACUUAGUCCCUGUUAGUGUCUUGAAUGGUGGAGGAAAGGGUGGGAAGUAGGAAAACAAUACAAGAAAAAAACAACAAUACAUUGUGGGCUUGGUGUUCGGUUUGGCAUAUCAGAAUAUGUUUGAUCAAAUAACUAAGGAGAGAGAAACAGCUAACUUACCUGAGCCCUCACAUGAAAGGUCAGUAUUUUGGGGGGCAGUAUUUGCUAAUUUUGUCUCCAAAAUAGCUAUAGAAAAGAGGGAAUAUAUAUUAAGCCCCAACAUGUGUGAAAAGGACAUACUUGCCAUUCCUCUAUUUAUUUUUGCUCUUUCAAAAAUCAAAGUGCCAGUUAUUUGGAAUGCUGUAGUCUGUGGUCUCUUUAAAUUUGUUUGGUGAGAUCCUUUCAGCAAGAUCAUUCCCAUUACGGUGUAACUGCAUGGUGACCACAGCUUUGGGCCUGUAUAAUAAAGAUCUGAAUUCAAAUUUUUGUUUCUGAUCAUUUUCUCUACUUUUAUGUCAUAUCUGCAAAGUGUUGGAUUGGAAUCAUACUUACUGCUGAUUGCUGCUUAGAAGUUUUGGCAAAAAGAAAUUCAGAGAUGAAAGUGUUUAUAUGGUAGGACCCUGAUUCUCCUUUGUAUUGUUAUUUACACCAGGUUGAAAGGCAGAGGGAUGUUAGCAAAUCAAUAGUGAUGCUUAAAUUUGAUUUAC
ensembl:lncRNA